UAAGCAUAUCAAUAAGCGGAGGAAAAGAAACCAACAGGGAUUACCUCAGUAACGGCGAGUGAAGCGGUAACAGCUCAAAUUUGAAAUCUGGCUCCUCGGGGCCCGAAUUGUAAUUUGUAGAAGAUGCUUUGGGUCUGGGCCUGGCCUAAGUUCCUUGGAACAGGACGUCGUAGAGGGUGAGAAUCCCGUAUGCGGCUGGCGCCCGUGCCCGUGUAAAGCUCUUUCAACGAGUCGAGUUGUUUGGGAAUGCAGCUCUAAAUGGGUGGUAAAUUUCAUCUAAAGCUAAAUAUUGGCCAGAGACCGAUAGCGCACAAGUAGAGUGAUCGAAAGAUGAAAAGCACUUUGGAAAGAGAGUUAAACAGUACGUGAAAUUGUUGAAAGGGAAGCGCUGGCAACCAGACUGCGGCGCUGUUGAUCCGCUAGGGUUCUCUCUAGGGCACUCGGCAGUGCGCAGGCCAGCAUCGGUUUGGGGGGUUGGAGAAUGGCUGGUGGAAUGUGGCUGUCUUUGGGCAGUGUUAUAGCCACCGGUGGCAUGCAGCCUCCCCGGACCGAGGACCGCGCUUCGGCUAGGAUGCUGGCGUAAUGGUUGUCAGCGACCCGUCUUGAAAC
rnacentral:rRNA from 1 species